UACGUAGGGUGCGAGCGUUGUCCGGAAUUAUUGGGCGUAAAGAGCUCGUAGGCGGUUUGUCGCGUCUGCCGUGAAAGUCCGGGGCUCAACUCCGGAUCUGCGGUGGGUACGGGCAGACUAGAGUGUGGUAGGGGAGACUGGAAUUCCUGGUGUAGCGGUGAAAUGCGCAGAUAUCAGGAGGAACACCGAUGGCGAAGGCAGGUCUCUGGGCCACUACUGACGCUGAGAAGCGAAAGCAUGGGGAGCGAACAGG
rnacentral:rRNA from 1 species